GAUGAACGCUGGCGGCGUGCCUAAUACAUGCAAGUCGAGCGAACGGACGAGAAGCUUGCUUCUCUGAUGUUAGCGGCGGACGGGUGAGUAACACGUGGAUAACCUACCUAUAAGACUGGGAUAACUUCGGGAAACCGUAGCUAAUACCGGAUAAUAUUUUGAACCGCAUGGUUCAAAAGUGAAAGACGGUCUUGCUGUCACUUAUAGAUGGAUCCGCGCUGCAUUAGCUAGUUGGUAAGGUAACGGCUUACCAAGGCCACGAUGCAUAGCCGACCUGAGAGGGUGAUCGGCCACACUGGAACUGAGACACGGUCCAGACUCCUACGGGAGGCAGCAGUGGGGAAUCUUCCGCAAUGGGCGAAAGCCUGACGGAGCAACGCCGCGUGAGUGAUGAAGGUCUUCGGAUCGUAAAACUCUGUUAUUAGGGAAGAACAUAUGUGUAAGUAACUGUGCACAUCUUGACGGUACCUAAUCAGAAAGCCACGGCUAACUACGUG
rnacentral:rRNA from 1 species